CGCCCGCCCGGGACAGGCAGCCGGGGAGGCGAGGCAGCCGCAGCCCCGCCACUCGGAGGAGCCGAGCCCGGACGUCUCGUCGCCUGCCCGGUGGCCGAAAGGGUGACAGAAAGGACCGUUUCGUGGGGACGGUGCGUAGGGCUCCGGCCUCUGUCUCUCCAGGGAAAGGACUUUCCAGAGAAAUAAGUCAAGAAAAAAUAACUGGCUUAAUUUCCCUCCACCCAGCAUCGUUUUUUCCCGGCUGUGCAUAGGAACCUUGGAGCAGCAUGAAGGGCUGUGUGGGACAGAGGCUUCUCCGGGUGCUGGUGCUCCCGCUGACAGUAAGUAUCCAGCACCAAACUGGAGAACAUCAGAGGUUUACAACCCUGUGGAUUCUGGAGAAAGGUCUUACUAAAUCCAGUGUCCAGCCCUUUUCUGUACUGUGUUUUAUUUCCUCUUUCUCAGUCUCUUUUUCCUUUGCCCAUCCAUUGCUGUGUGCUUCUUCCAUCUCUCCUACUCUUUCUUCUCUUUUUCCCUGUUCCAGUCUUUUCCCUGUGUCCUCCCUCUUCUAGUGGGUCCUGGUUUUGGCUGCCAUAAAGUUCAUUUUCUUUGUAGUAGCUGGUGCAGUGCUGUGUUUUGGAUUUAGAAUAAUGCUGCCAGCACACUGAUGUUUUAGUUGUUGCUGAGCAGUGCUUAUAGUAAGUUGAGGACUUUUCAGCUCCCCACACCACCCCACCAAUGAGUAGGCUGGGGAGUACAAGAAGCUAGGAGAAGACACAGAUGGAACAACUGGCCAAAGGGAUAUUCCAUAUAAUAUGACAGUAUAUAAACUAGGGGGAAGCUGGCCAGGGGCCAGCUCUCCAGAACUGUCUGGACAUUGGUCAGUUGGUGGUGGGAAAUUGCAUUGGGCAUCACUUGUUUUGUAUGUUCUAAUUCUUUUAUCAUUUAUUAUUAUUACAAUUGUUAUUAUUAUAGUUGUUAUGAUUAUUGUUGUUAUUAUUGUUGUUGUUGUUGUUAUUAUUCCUCCUUCUUUUUCUGUUGUAUUAAACUGCCUUUAUCUAAA